GAUCAUGGCUCAGAUUGAACGCUGGCGGCAGGCCUAACACAUGCAAGUCGAACGGUAACAGGAAACAGCUUGCUGUUUCGCUGACGAGUGGCGGACGGGUGAGUAAUGUCUGGGAAACUGCCUGAUGGAGGGGGGAUAACUACUGGAAACGGUAGCUAAUACCGCAUAACGUCGCAAGACCAAAGAGGGGGACCUUCGGGCCUCUUGCCAUCGGAUGUGCCCACGAUGGGAUUAGCUAGUAGGUGGGG
rnacentral:rRNA from 1 species